ensembl:snoRNA
CUGCAUCCACUGAUAGACCUUGAAUAAUUUGUUGUUCUUAUGGUUUGCACUAGGAUGAUAAAGGAAAAAUCCCUACGCAUAAUUCU